CCACGGGACUGCAUGGUCCUGAGGGCAAAGGUGGCCUCUACUUGUAAGCUCCGGAAGAUGGCUUCGCGUCCCAUUAGCUAUUGGCGGUGUAACGGACACGGCGACGAUGGGUAGCUGGUCUGAGAGGAUGGUCAGCCACACUGGAAGAUACGGCCCAGACUCCUACGGGAGGCAGCAGUCGAGAGGCUUGGUGGGGGAAACCCUGACCAAGCGACGCCGCGUGGGGGAUGAAGGCCUGUUGUAAACCCCUUUUGUUCGGGAAGAAACGCGAUCAGGUGAAAAUGUCGUUUGACGGUACCGGACGAAUAAGCUCCGGCUAACUCCGUCCAGCCGCGGUAACACGGGGGGAGCAAGCGUUGUUCGGAAUCACUGGCGGGCGUGUAGGCGGUUCGGUA
rnacentral:rRNA from 1 species